rnacentral:rRNA from 1 species
CCAGCAACUUGGAGGAAUGUAAGGUAAUAGCCUAAUGCAUUAUUUUAAUGUUUAAUCGACCAUGUCGAAUAAAAUUCUAGGUAGAGUUUUGACAAUGACAUUCUCUAUCUAUGUGUCUUGACCAAAUUACGUGCCAGCAGUCGCGGUAAUACGUAAAAGACUAGUGUUAUUCAUCUUUAAUAGGUUUAAAGAGUACCAAGACGGUUAAUAAAGCCCCUAAAGGGUACAAAUUAACUAGAGUUAUAUGAAAGGGAGCUCUUAGGUACUGUUGAGUGUAGAGAUGAAAUUCUGUGAUACCAGAUGAUUGGCACGGGUCUAUGCGAAGGCAUCUCCUUAUGUAAUAACUGACGUUGUAGGACGAAGGCUUUUGAAGUGAACAGGAUUCGAUACCCCAGUAAUCUAAGCAGAAAAUGAUGAGUGUCAUAGGUUAAAUAUAAUUUAGUCUAUAAAUGAAAGUGUAAGCAUUCCACCUCAAGAGUAAUUUGGCAACAUUGGAACUGAAAUCAUUAGACCGUUUCUGAAACCAGUAGUGAAGUAUGUUGUUUAAUUUGAUGAUCCGCAAAGAACCUUACCACUUUUAAUAAUGUUAAAUUUAUUAUUUUUUAAUUUUAACAUUGUUAAAAUUAUUAUCUUGAAUAAAUAUUUUUUUAAUAUUUACAAGCGUUGCACGGCUGUCUUCAGUUAAUGUCGUGAGAUUUUGGUUAGUUCCAUUAAAUUAACGAAAACCCUUACUUUAUUUUUAUAUAAAGUUGUUCACCGUUAUAUUGGAUAUGAUAAUAGGGACCAGGACAAGUC